UGUUAACCAGAUAAAUGAGGUGCUCUUUCAAGGGCUGAAAAGGGAAUCUGGUGUGAAACCAGAACUGUACCCGCAACUGUAAAUGCUGAUGAUUCAAACAAGAACCACUGUCGUUUUUGAUGGGAAGGUGUUUGAAAAAAAUGAAGCAUGAGUCAGGAGACCUGCCUUAUUUAUACCGUGUUA
rnacentral:ncRNA from 2 species